rnacentral:rRNA from 1 species
UAAGGAAUAUUGGGCAAUGGACGCAAGUCUGACCCAGCCAUGCCGCGUGGAGGAUGAAGGUCCUCUGGAUUGUAAACUUCUUUUAUCUGGGAAGAAAUCCAUAUUUUCUAAUGUGGUUGACGGUACCAGAUGAAUAAGCACCGGCUAACUCCGUGCCAGCAGCCGCGGUAAUACGGAGGGUGCAAGCGUUAUCCGGAUUCACUGGGUUUAAAGGGUGCGUAGGCGGAUUGGUAAGUCCGUGGUGAAAUCCCCGAGCUUAACUUGGGAACUGCCGUGGAUACUAUCAGUCUUGAAUAUCGUGGAGGUAAGCGGAAUAUGUCAUGUAGCGGUGAAAUGCUUAGAUAUGACAUAGAACACCAAUUGCGUAGGCAGCUUACUACUCGAUCAUUGACGCUGAGGCACGAAAGCGUGGGGAGCAAACAGG